rnacentral:lncRNA from 1 species
UCAGCUGCAUUUCUGAAUACAAAAACUUUACCUAAAAAUGAUAAAAUGUUCUAUUUAUACUAGGCUGGAAAAACUAGACAAAAAUACCCUUACGGGGUAAGUGCGGGCCGCACAAAAGCAAUCGCGGCCGCAUAGGCUCUUUGACUUAGAAAUUUUCAACUCUCUGAACUGGAGGAUACAAAACUCACAAAUGAGUUGUGCGACCACGAAAGGGGUCUGGCGCGGACCGAACGGUGACGAUCGCGGGCCGCGUGGCUUUAAAUUGGCUCUAAGACAAUCUCUUUGAAUCUCGUUCACGCGGACUGUACAAAUGAGUAAAGCGGCCGCGAAGCUUGAGCACGGACUGCGAGAAUCCAACUACGAUCGUGUAUCCAUUAGCCUUAAUAUUCCUUGCAUCUAAAUCUCCUAGUGCAGCCGUAGUUUCUUUCACGUGGUCUGCACUAGGUCCUCUUUCUUCACUUCACUUAAUCUUUGACACUUGAGCAGGUUUCACUCUUUUUGAGCCGAUCUUUGACAUUUUGUCACUUUGUCGAUCAAACC